rnacentral:rRNA from 1 species
UGAGGAAUAUUGGUCAAUGGGCGGAAGCCUGAACCAGCCAUAUCGCGUGUAGGAAGGAGGUCUUAUGGAUUGUAAACUACUUUUGUAUAGGGGUAAAGAUAUCAUCGAGAAUGAUAAGAAGAAAGUACUAUACGAAUAAGUAUCGGCUAACUCCGUGCCAGCAGCCGCGGUAAUACGGAGGAUACGAGCGUUAUCCGGAUUUAUUGGGUUUAAAGGGUGCGUAGGCGGAUAUAAAGGUCUAUGGUGAAAAUUUGUUGCUUAACAGCAAAAAGCUUUAGAAACCGGAUAUCUAGGAUAUAAAUGGGGUAGGCGGAAUAAAUCAUGUAGAGGUGACAUUCAUAGAUAUGAUUUAGAACACCGGUCGCGGAGGCAGCUUACCAAGAUAUGAUUGACGCUGAGG